rnacentral:rRNA from 1 species
UACGAAGGGGGCUAGCGUUGCUCGGAAUUACUGGGCGUAAAGGGCGCGUAGGCGGGAUGGCAAGUCGGUCGUGAAAUCCCUCGGCUCAACUGAGGAUGGUCGAUCGAUACUGCCGUUCUUGAGGAUUGCAGAGGAGACUGGAAUUCCCGGUGUAGCGGUGAAAUGUGUAGAGAUCGGGAGGAACACCGGUGGCGAAGGCGGGUCUCUGGGCAAUUCCUGACGCUGAGGCGCGAAAGCGUGGGGAGCAAACGGG